rnacentral:rRNA from 1 species
UACGUAGGGUGCGAGCGUUAAUCGGAAUUACUGGGCUUAAAGGGUGCGUAGGCGGCUUUGCAAGUUGGGUGUGAAAGCCCUCGGCUCAACCGAGGAAUUGCGCUCAAUACUGCCGAGCUCGAGAGAGACAGAGGUAAGCGGAACUAAUGGUGGAGCGGUGAAAUGCGUUGAUAUCAUUAGGAACACCGGUGGCGAAGGCGGCUUACUGGGUCUUUUCUGACGCUGAGGCACGAAAGCCAGGGGAGCGAACGGG